rnacentral:rRNA from 1 species
AGAGUUUGAUCCUGGCUCAGGAUGAACGCUAGCGGCAGGCCUAACACAUGCAAGUCGAGGGGUAAGGUCUCUUCGGAGAUACACGACCGGCGCACGGGUGAGUAACGCGUUUGCAACCUACCUUCAACAGGGAGAUAGCUCUCGGAAACGGGAAUUAAUACCCCAUAAUAUUUUUUUAUGGCAUCAUAGAAAGAUUAAAGCUCAGGCGGUUGAAAAUGGGCAUGCGUGACAUUAGCUAGUUGGUAAGGUAACGGCUUACCAAGGCUACGAUGUCUAGGGGGUCUGAGAGGAUGAUCCCCCACACUGGUACUGAGACACGGACCAGACUCCUACGGGAGGCAGCAGUGAGGAAUAUUGGGCAAUGGACGCGAGUCUGACCCAGCCAUGGCCGCGUGCAGGAUGACUGCCCUAUGGGUUGUAAACUGCUUUUCUGCAGGAAGAAAUGUCCCGACGUGUCGGGAUUUGACGGUACUGCAGGAAUAAGCAUCGGCUAACUCCGUGCCAGCAGCCGCGGUAAUACGGAGGAUGCAGGCGUUAUCCGGAUUUAUUGGGUUUAAAGGGUGUGUAGGCGGGAGAUUAAGUCAGUGGUGAAAUCCUGCAGCUUAACUGUAGAACUGCCAUUGAUACUGGUUUCCUUGAGUGUAGUUGAAGUGGGCGGAAUGUGUAUUGUAGCGGUGAAAUGCUUAGAUAUUACACAGAACACCUAUUGCGAAGGCAGCUCACUAAACUAAUACUGACGCUGAUGCACGAAAGCGUGGGGAGCAAACAGGAUUAGAUACCCUGGUAGUCCACGCCGUAAACGUUGAUUACUCGAUGUGUGCGAUACACUGUACGCGUCUGAGCGAAAGCAUUAAGUAAUCCACCUGGGGGAGUACGAUCGCAAGAUUGAAACUCAAUGAAUUGGACGG